rnacentral:rRNA from 1 species
GCCGCCGCGGUAACACCGGCAGCUCGAGUGGUAGCUGUUUUUAUUGGGCCUAAAGCGUUCGUAGCCGGUUUGAUAAGUCUUUGGUGAAAGCUUGUAGCUUAACUAUAAGAAUUGCUGGAGAUACUAUUAGACUUGAAGUCGGGAGAGGUUAGAGGUACUACCGGGGUAGGGGUGAAAUCCUAUAAUCCUGGGAGGACCACCUGUGGCGAAGGCGUCUAACUGGAACGAUCUUGACGGUGAGUAACGAAAGCCAGGGGCGCGAACCGGAUUAGAUACCCC